UGAUCUGGCAACAGCUCUCCAGUCAAUUAUUGGUAAUAGCCCUUUCGAAUAAGCCAAUCAGAAUAGUCAAAGAACAACCCCCCUUGCUUCUGUGGCCCCUUUAAAAGUAGACUGUACCAGCUAUUCGAGGUCCCUCGGCUUCCCGAAUGCUGGGGGACCCUGUCAUGACAGAAUUAAUAAAAUCCUCAUGCUUUUGCAUCGGCUGUGGUGUGUGAGAUGGUCUCUGGGGGCAACUCCUUCUUGGUGUUUGGACGCUAGAGUCCAACAAAAGGAGGGUGCCACCACACCUGACUUCAGUCUCAUUUCUAGAAAGAUUUUGUUUGUUUUAACUAUGUUGAUGCAUUUGUGUGUGGCUAAGCACACGGUCAGUGCAGGUGCCUGCUGGAGUCUCAUGUUUCACUGGAGUAGUAGUUAUAGCAAACCGAAACGUGGGUCCUCUGUAACAACAGUAUUGGGUUGUAGUUGCUAAGUCAUCUCUCUAGCCCCGAUCCUAUUUGGCAAUAAAUACAGGGUCUCAGGCAUCCCAGGGUUCCCUCAAAUUCCACAUGUAGUUGAGGAUGACCGCGAAGUCUCAACUCUCCUGUCUCCACUUCGUAAAUAUGCGGAUUGUAAAUAUGCGGAUUGCAGGCAUGAGCCAAUACACCCAGCUGGGGAAACAAACCUACGAUCUCUUAUGAGAGGCCACCUGAGCCAGUCCUCAAGACCCUGUUUAAUUUCUGUUGUUUUCCUGGAGACAGGGAACCUCAGCCCAGGUUUGCCCCAAACACUUAAUUCUCCUGCCUCAGCCUCCUGAGGAAUUACAACCAUGUGCCGCCAUACUUGGGUACAUUAUUAAUUCUCAUUCAUUUGUGCCAUCCUAAAAAUGCGGGGCAAGAUGGGAGGGAUUGGAGGAGUGAAAAGCGUGAUCAAAUAUAUUGUAUAAAAAUUAUUUUCAAUGAAAAAGAAUGUUGAGAUAAUGAAACCUGCUCUUGCAUAUGGAAGAAAAACCCACAGUUUUGGGUUUUGUUUUUUUUUUUUUUUUUUUUUUUUUUUUGGUUUUUCGAGACAGGGUUUCUCUGUGGCAUUGGAGCCUGUCCUGGAACUAGCUCUGUAGACCACGCUGGUCUCGAACUCACAGAGAUCCGGCUGCCUCUGCCUCCCGAGUGCUGGGAUUAAAGGCGUGUGCCACCACGGCCCAGUUUUAACUUGCAGAUUGUGUCAGAAAUAUUUGGUGAUAAGUAGUAGCGAUGGCCCAAUGGCAGGGGCCAAUAACGUACAGAUCCCAACAAAGCAUUGCAAGCCGGGCGGAUAAGUUUGAGCCUCUGCGGCUCCCGUAGCUCGGUACGGCUUGCCCGGUGUCCCACGUGCUACUUCCGGUUACACGGGACACACGCGUCUGAGCUGCCGCGGGGACUCGGCAGUGACUGGCGGAGCCUGCGAUUUCCACCAGCUGCUUGCCUGGAGCCCGUCUGCAGCCACUAUGUCGGGCAGGAACAACAACAAGCUGCCCAGCAACCUGCCGCAGUUACAGAACCUGAUCAAGCGGGACCCGCCGGCCUACAUCGAGGAGUUCCUCCAGCAGUAUAAUCACUAUAAAUCCAAUAUGGAGAUUUUCAAGUUACAGCCAAAUAAACCCAGCAAAGAACUGGCAGAGCUGGUGAUGUUUAUGGCGCAGAUUGCCCACUGCUACCCGGAACAUCUCAGUAGCUUCCCACAGGAGCUGAAGGAGCUGCUCUCCUACAACCACACCGUCUUGGACCCGGAUCUCCGCAUGACAUUUUGCAAAGCGUUGAUCUUGCUGAGAAAUAAAAAUCUCAUCAAUCCAUCAAGUUUGCUGGAGCUCUUCUUCGAGCUUCUGCGCUGCCACGACAAGCUCCUGCGGAAGACGCUGUACACACACAUCGUGACCGACGUCAAGAACAUAAACGCCAAGCACAAGAACAAUAAAGUGAAUGUGGUGCUGCAGAACUUCAUGUACACCAUGCUGAGAGACAGCAACGCGACUGCAGCCAAGAUGUCGCUGGACGUCAUGAUCGAGCUCUACAGAAGGAACAUCUGGAAUGAUGCUAAAACUGUCAACGUUAUCACAACUGCCUGUUUCUCCAAAGUCACCAAGAUAUUGGUUGCUGCUUUGACCUUCUUCCUUGGGAAAGAUGAGGAAGAGAAACAGGACAGUGACUCGGAAUCCGAGGAUGAAGGACCCACGGCAAGAGACCUGCUGGUGCAGUAUGCCACGGGGAAGAAGGGCUCCAAAAACAAGAAGAAAUUGGAAAAGGCAAUGAAAGUGCUGAAGAAACAAAAGAAGAAGAAGAAACCAGAAGUGUUUAACUUUUCAGCUAUUCAUUUGAUUCAUGAUCCCCAAGACUUUGCGGAGAAGCUCCUGAAGCAGCUGGAGAGCUGUAAGGAGAGGUUUGAAGUGAAGAUGAUGCUCAUGAACCUCAUCUCCAGAUUGGUGGGGAUUCACGAGCUUUUCCUCUUCAACUUCUACCCUUUUGUGCAAAGGUUUCUGCAGCCCCACCAGAGAGAAGUCACGAAGAUCCUUCUGUUUGCUGCACAAGCCUCUCAUCACCUGGUGCCACCAGAGAUCAUUCAAUCGCUGCUCAUGACGGUGGCCAACAAUUUUGUUACUGACAAGAACUCUGGGGAAGUCAUGACUGUAGGAAUCAAUGCUAUAAAGGAAAUAACAGCUCGAUGUCCUUUGGCCAUGACUGAAGAACUUCUCCAGGACCUGGCUCAGUACAAGACACACAAAGAUAAGAACGUAAUGAUGUCUGCCAGAACUUUGAUUCAUCUUUUCCGGACACUGAACCCUCAGAUGCUGCAGAAGAAGUUCCGGGGUAAACCGACUGAAGCCUCCAUUGAAGCAAGAAUACAAGAAUAUGGAGAGUUAGAUGCUAAAGAUUACAUUCCGGGAGCAGAGGUUCUGGAGAUUGAGAAAGAAGAGAAUACAGAAAAUGACGAAGAUGGAUGGGAGAGCGCCAGCCUCAGCGGGGAGGAGGAGGAUGGUGAGUGGGUCGACGUGCACCACUCUUCUGACGAAGAGCAGCAGGAAAUUGCCAAGAAGCUGGAGAGCAUGCCCAUGGAGGAGCGGAAAGCCAAAGCUGCAGCCAUCAGCACAAGUCGGGUGUUAACACAGGAUGACUUCCAGAAAAUCCGCAUGGCGCAGAUGAAGAAGGAGAUGGAUGCUGCCCCCGGGAAAGCCCAGAAAAGGAAAUUCAUAGACAUCGACAGCGACGAGGAGUCCAGGGGUGAAUUGCUGUCUCUUCGGGACAUUGAACGCCUUCAUAAAAAGCCCAAGUCUGACAAGGAGACAAGACUAGCAACCGCCAUGGCAGGAAGGACAGAUCGAAAGGAAUUUGUGAGGAAGAAAACCAAAAUAAAUCCAUUUUCCAGUUCCACAAAUAAAGAGAAGAAGAAGCAGAAGAACUUUAUGAUGAUGCGGUACAGCCAGAAUGUCCGGUCAAAGACCAAGCGCUCCUUCCGGGAGAAGCAGCUAGCACUACGAGAUGCACUUUUGAAAAAGAGGAAAAGAAUGAAGUAGCAUAGCAGCAAGUUACCGUUUCCUGCCAGCGCUGUGUGCGUCGACAUGCCGAAGAUUAGUAAAUAUUUGCUUACAUUAAAAGGAUAAGAGACUAUAUUUUGGAAACCGCAGUAGCAGUUGUAGCAAUUUGGUAUUUUUAAUUUGGAGGUGGGGCUGGUGGGAUUGUGAAUGUAAAUAGUAGUGGUGUUAAGAUCUCCUUUCUAACUCAGAGCAAUAGCAAGUGCCUACUAAUUGCUGCAUGCACAGCUGAGUGAGCGGAGCCCCACUGAGGGCAGGUGUGUAAGCCGCGUUUAUAGUGAGCUUGUAAGUAGUUCCUUGUGGCUGUUGGUUCGGAUUCCUGGAGUCGCUGGGCUCCUGGAUGAACUGCGGGAUGGGAGUCGUACAUGCUCUGCAAACAGGACAAUGUUACAAGUGUAAGAGGUUCUUACUUGUAAAUAGGCUUGCCUGCUGAACAGGCUCCUGCUGUACAGACCGUGUCUUCUUCCUUCUUUUCAAUGUUAAGAGUUGGCUAAGACCCCAUUUUUAAAAUUGCCUUAAGUUUAAAUAGUGAUUUUGAAAUGCCUAGCAGGGUGCGGAGGCACACGCCCAUAAUCCCAACAUUCAGGAAGCUAAAGCAGAAGGCUCAUGGUUUUAGAACCAGCUUGGAACAUACUGAGUUAGUUCAGGGUCAGCCUGGGCUGCAUAGUGAAACCCCAAGCAGAAACACAGACCCUUUUUGAGCUUUUCGUUUGUGCUGCCUGUUCUCUCCCGUCUGUUGCUGGGGUUUGGUUGUCUGUGCAGCCUGCUCUCUCUGUUCUCUGCUGUCUGUUGCUGUUGGGGUUUGUUUUUGUUUUGCUCUGCUGGGGAUCAACCCCAGGUUCCUGGUGUUUACCACUAAGUGGAUUCUCUGCCUCUGAGAAUUCCAGCCCGGGGUGCCUGCUCUGCACUGGUUUGAUCAGUUCCCUUCAUUCUCAUUGUUUACCUUGUUCUCAACCAAAGCUACACGUUUUUAAUGUCGGAUAGGUGUGUGCAGUGGACAGUCACGCUUGAGUCCCGUGUGGGACACAGUCUGCGUGCAGGCUGCUGGGUUUAGAAAUAGUCUGGUGCCUUUUGCCUCAGCCAUCCUUAGGUCGUCCUCUAAUGAAAAAUGCCCGUGCUUGGACUGGAGGAAGGGCAGUUGGAGAACUACCCUCGGGAUUGGUAGCAGCUUUCCCUUUCCCCUUUCAUUGUUCUCUUCGGUUGCUGAGCUCAACUUUGGUUUUCUUUUCCCCUGUCACUUUCCCCCCCGUGGUGGCCCGGGUCCCUGGUAGGGGAUUGCCCCGCAGCCUCACCCCAGCACAGCUGUGGAGGAAGUGUCCAGUACAGACUUGUGUCAGACCUGAAACAGUUCUCCACUUUUCUUCUCGUGUUCUCCGGGCGUCUCCUUGUGCAUCGGCUGCAGCUGUGCUCUGUGGCCUCUCAACUCCUCCUGCCCCACCUCCCAGCUGCUCACGACCAUGUCCACUUUCUGGGCUACUAGCGCUCAUACUCAGGCCUUGGCAUUUUAAUCCAGAAUACCAGCUCAUUACCUCUAUAGCAUUAGCAGAUUUCACUGGUAAAGAAGUGCCGGACAAGACAGUCUCAGCUCUUGUCUGCCGCAUCCCUGUGCUAGCCAGGUGUCUCCUGUAGUGUGGAGGGUACAGGUACAGCGCAUGCUCGAGCCUGAUUAACCCUGCUGCCAAGGCUGUCUGUAAAUGUCACACCGCCUACCUCUCUUUUAGUAAAUUGUGUUUUGGUGGUUUCCCCCGCUUCCUUCUUUUUUCUUAUAAUAGUUAAGAUGCUGUGUUUAUUUUAACCGUCAAGUCCAGUGUCUAGGCAGCUAGUUUAAAGUACAUGUCAACUGUCCACUGUGUACAAGCACUGUUAGGUGGUUGUGCCUGCACAAACCACAUUUGUGUUCCAUGAAGACAGCUGUGCUUCGUGACGAUCCAGUCACUUCGCAGUAGGCACACACUGAGCCUUGAUGCUGCACCAUAAUCCAUGUGCCCAGUGCCCGCCGUGGGCAGGGCAGCACUGUAGAAAACUUGUUCUUGAGUCCUGUGCUUAAGAUGUAAUAGUCUUGGUGUGAUUUUUAAAUGUUCUAGUUAAUGUAAAUUUUGUUUUUUUUAUAUUCUAAUCAUUGAAAAUUUGUAAUGUAUAUAGAGUAUUACAUUGAAAUUCUAGGGCUGGAGAGAUGGCUCAGUGGUUAAGAGCAUUGCCUGCUCUUCCAAAGGUCCUGAGUUCAAUUCCCAGCAACCACAUGGUGGCUCACAACCAUCUGUAAUGAGGUCUGGUGCCCUCUUCUGGCCUGAAGGCAUACAAGUAGACAGAAUACUGUAUACAUAAUAAAUAAAUAUUUUAAAAAAUUUAGCUUUUACAUGAUGUGCUAUUUUUCCUUAUGUUCACGCUGUAGCUUCCUGUUAUUCACAGAAAUUGGCCAGCUUAGAGCAUCUUUCUCAAUUGAGCACAUCGCUGUUUUGCCUAGCUCCUUGAUUAUAAUUCCAUAUAGUAGUUAUUGUGUUGACAACAGAUUCAUCUAUACUGCAUAUAGAGAAGAAUAACUCACACAAAAAUACCAAAAGACAGAUUUCUUCCUUUUUUUCCUCCUUUUAGUGCUGGAGAGUGACCUCAGGCCCUUAUCCAUGCAAAGGAUGGGCUCUAAUACUGAUCUAUACCUUAGGUCCCUGAAGAACUUUACUUUCGUAGAACUAAAUAAUUUGAUUUUUAACAUCAUAUGGAAAAAUAAACUAGUGGAAAUAAUUAAGGAUACUAUGAAAGGUAGUAUGAGGUGAUACUAGGUCAUGUAGAAAAAUGAACAGAACCAAAGUCCAGAAAUGGACUUGUACAAAUGAGAAUUUGUGUGUGGUAAAAGUAUUAUACAGCCAUCAGUGUGUCCUAGAUAGACUAAAAUAUUGGAUCAGCUAGAUAGCUGCCUAGAAAAACCCCAGUGGGGGCUAGCAAGAUGGUUCAGUAGGAAGUAGUGCAUACUGCCAAGCCUGACAACUUAUGGUAGAAAGAAUCAUUCCCGAAAGUUGUCUGUUGUGGAAUAUUAAUUGAAGAUGUGUGACAUUUGUUCUUGUGAAACAUUUAAUUAUGAUGCAAAGAUGUGUUGUAUUAUUUUUUUUAAAAAAAUUAAUUUUAUGUGCAUUGGUAUUUUGUCGUAUGUCCCCUGAAACCGAAGUUACAGACAGUUGUGAACCACCAUGUAGGGGUUGGGAAUUGAACCCAGGUCCUCUGAAAGAGCAGUUAGUGCUCUUAACCCCUAAGCCAUCUCUCCAGCCCAUGUGUUGUAUGUAUUCUUUUGUGUUGGAUUUGUUUAACUCUGUGAAGCUGUGUUACUUGGCCUGUCUAAAAAAGAGCUGAACUGCAAAUAGCUAGGCAGGAGAGGGAUAGACUAGGCUGGCAGGCAGAGAGAACAAACAAGAGGAGAAAUCUGGGAGGAAAGAUCAAGGAGCCAGAAAAGGAGGAGGAUGACAGCAGGGACCAUCCAUCCAGCUACACAGCCAGCUAGAGUCAAAAGUAAAGAAAGGUAUAAUAGAAUAGAGAAAGAUAAAAGUCCAGAGGCAAAAGGUAGCUAGAAUAAUUUAAGUUAAAAGCUGGCUAGAAACAAGCCAAACUGACACUGGGCAUUUAUAAUUAAGAAUAAGCCUAUGUGAGAUUUAUCUGGGAGCUGGGUGGCAGCCCCCAAAGAGUAAAGAGUACGAGUAAGAAAAAACAAACAAAUAAAACAAAACAAACAAAACCUAACAGUUGUCCUCUGACCUCUGUACAAAGGCUAGAGAGCUGGCUCAGUGGUUAAAAGCACUUGUCAAAAGAAAAUGAUGUGUGUGUGUGUGCAUAAGCUAUAUCAAAAGACAACAGUUAAGCUCCUUAACUAGGCAGAGAUUAGAAAAUACAAAACAAGUACACACCUCUUGUCGGAGUCUACAGAAUGUGAGCCAUGGAGAUGUAAAAACAAAAGGAGACUGAAGAUAUUAUUCUGGGCAUUCUGAGGACUCAGUCAUUAAAAACCAUAGAUUUGAAAGGAUGAAAGAAAAGCCAUAAACACACACACACAAGUUUUCUUUUCUUAUGAGAGAGAAAGGGAGAGGGUGGAAGAGGGGAAGGAGAAGAGGAGGCAGAGACGUGUGUGUGUGUGUGUGUGUGUGUGUGUGUGUGUAUGAACACACAUGUACCAAUGUGGUACAAGGGUGUAUAGAGGAUGCUAAGAAUCUUCCAUGACUCUCUCCAAAUUCUCUUUUGAGUCAAGUGAGCCUCUCAUUGGACCUGCAGCUCACCUUUUUGGCUACCCUUGGUGCAGGAGAAUUGUCGGUAUUCUGUCAAUCAUGUUUUAAAUAAAUGCUGAUUGGCCAGGCAGGAAAUAUAGGUGGGUGAACCAGACAGGAAGUAGAGGCGGGGUGAUAAGAACAGGAGAAUUCUAGGAAGGAGGAAACCCAUUCCUCACCAGUCUAGCCCAGAGCACCAAAGAAGCAAGAUGUGACCUGCCCCACUGAGAAAGAUACUGAGCCAUGUGGCUAACAUAGAUAAGAAUAAUGGGUUAAUACAAACUACAAGAGCUAAUAUGUAGCCUGAGCUAAUGGGCCAAUCAGCUUAUAAUCUUAUGGAGUCCUCUGUGUGAUUUUCUCUGGGACUAAAUGGCUAGGGAACUGGGCAGGGCAGAAACCCCAACAAGCCGGCCCAUCGUGUUACAUACCCUGGCUGGCUAGGGAGUCCCUGGGAUCCACCUGCUUUCGACCCUGAGUGCUGGGGUUACAGGUGCACACCACCACACCUAGUUUUCAUGUCAGUACUGGGGAUCAAAACGUAGGCCCUCAUGUUUGUGAGGUAAGCACUUCACUCAUCGAGCUGUCUCACCAGCCCUUGUUUCUGUUUGAGACAAGGUCUGCAUAUGUGUCUCUGGCUGCUCUGAACCCGCUAAUACCAGGUUGGCCUCACAUAUACACUGAUCCUCCUGAGUCUGCCUCCACAGUGCUGAGGUUUAAGGUAUGUACUACCACGCUCCGGCACAAAUAAAAUUUGAAGUUAACUCAAAUAAUCUUUAAUAUCAGCUAUUAUGCUUUUAUAACUACGUUUUCUAAAUAAAAGCCCUUCUUAUGCCUACUAUGUUCAUUCAAGUUGAACAUUUUUAUAUUGUUUAUAUAAACAAAAAGCUGGCACUUAAAAUUUUUAACUUUUUUUUCUCAUGAAAAUAAGGUUCUAGAAGUUGGACAUAGGAGGUCUACCUAUAACCCAAGCACUGGGGAGGUAGAGGCAGGUUAGGUGCUCAAGGUCAACCUCAGCCACAUAGUGAGUUCAAGGGUAGUUGGGUUAAAUGAGACCUUGUCUCAAAACCAAUCAAAACAAGUAGUUCUAGUGUCUUAUGAUCAGAAUAAUUUUUAGUGGUAGCUUCUAAGAACAAAGAAUAAGAGCAUUGAUAAAAUUACACAAAUAACUCUACAAUUUGUGGUGAAUGGUUAAAAAAAAAAACCAAGCCAAUCAAUUGAAAACAUAAUGUCUGUCUUUUAAAUGGUUGACAUUUAUACUUACAAGACACAUCCUAAAUCAAAAAUUCUGGGGCUGGAGGUGUGGCUCACUGGUAGAGCACUUGCCUAGCACAUAGAAAGCCCUGAGUUUGAUCCCCAGAACCACAUAGGAAAACAAAGAAACAGUAACUGCUGGCAGAAGUUGUCAAGUAUGCGUGUAUGAGUUGUAGCUCCACGCUACACCAUACUCACACUUGAAAGGGUAACUAGCUGGACCUCAUUUACUGCUGGUUGCAUUGUAUGACUAAAAUACAUGACUAGACAAGGAUGUUAAGAUAUAAAAACUAAACCAAACUGAACAUAAAUAACACUUUCUCGCAGCAUAGUAAAACCAAUACGGUACCUGUAGCCUAUAGAUUAUAUGCAGAAUAAUCUGUAAUACUACAUUUAAAAUUAUAAUUACAAAAAUUUUACUGUUGUACAUUUUAAAUAAUGUGAGUAGUAUAAAGUCACACAUUCCUCCUUCACCUACUGAUUAAAAGGCAUACUUUUAUCCCUAAACUUGACUUUCUUUAAAUUAUUUUUAAGGGAAAUAAAGAAACAAGCUUGGGGGAACCAAAAUUGAGGAAUCGGAGGGCAGUGCAAGCAACCCUGGAAGAAGCCCAGGCCAUAGGUUUAGUAGUCCCCAUAGUCUUAGUAACCAGUCCAAGAGGGAAUGGAGGAAACUAGAGAGCCACUGUGAAAGACAAACUUGCCAACACACGUAAAGUGAGUAGAACAGAACUUCAAACAAGCUGUUAAAAACCAACUGCAAAACCCAAGACAAGAAGCCCGUCAGAAGAAAAGGCCUCAACUUAUCAAGUA